AGAAGAGCUGGGGGAAGCCCCAGCAACACGCACAAAGGCUGUGAGAGUGCGGCGCUGGACUGUUUCAAGGUUUGAAAGGAAAAGCCUUAUGGCUGGAGGAGGAGAAUGAGAAGCUAAGGCGGGAGAGGUGGCACCAAGGGCCAAAGAAGGACACAGCAGACGAGCAGGUAAGCAGGGGGAAGUGAGAACUGUCAAGAAGUAGGAAUGCUGGACGGCAGUAUCAGGUGACAGCGAGCAGGAAGAUGAAAUGCAAUCCAGGAGAAAACAGGUUAAGUGACAUUCCUUCUCCUGCGUCUUGACAGUCAAGGAAGCAGUACGUUUUGGAAAUACCGAGUAUCCUGUUUAAAACGCUCCAUGCGAGGGUUGUUCACCGUCUGGGGAACAACCCCUCAUCACCGGGAGGGAGACACCACGGAACUAAGGGCUGGACGGCAAGGCACGUCCAGGCAAGGCACGCCCAGUCGUGUCUCAGUCUCAAAAGCUGUCAUCCCUCUCCUAGUGAAAUUUAGAGCGAGCCACUGCGGGAGGGGCUAUCCUCCACCUGCUUUCCCCAACUAUCCGCAAGAAGCCACGAGACCGCCUCCGCAGAAACCAUUAUCUCCGGUUUCCACGCCGGAAACUUAAAAAAAAAAAAAAAAAAAGCCCGGAACGACGUUCUGGCGGGACAGCAAAACCCAGUCCUCAGGGCCAGUCACCGUCACGAGUCCGGGCGUCCGGGAGACCCAAGCAACCACGCGAGACUGUGCCCGCGCCCGGCGGCCGCGAGGAACACAAAGAAGGCCCGGCCCCCCGCGGCCCCGCCAAGUCCUGCCCGCCCUCCCCGCACCCGGAGGAGGGGGAGGCCGGUGCCCGCCCCACCUGGUGCGCCUGGAAGAGGCGACAGCGGCAGCACCGCAGCACCCGAACCCGCUGUGGGGGCACCAUUGGGGACGCCGUCGCCGCUACACAUGCGCCCUACACUCCUGUCGGUUCCGGCUUCGUCUUCUGCGCGCGUUUGGGGUCCUUUAGACGCCGGCGCGCUGUGCGUGCGCGUGCGCUCUGCGCUUCGGCCCGCCCCUGCACCGCCCAGCUCCCCUCCACGCGUUCGGGCUUCUCUAGCCCGCCGAUCGUCUCGGCGGUAGGCCGGGGUCCCUGUGACUCCCCGGGCGAGGCCGUUGGGCAUCGCAAGGGGUUUGGGUCAGCCGGGUCACCACCGACUUGCUGCCUGGAGCAGGCCUGCUCCCGUCUCUCUCUAAGCCCGCGUCUUCGCCGGGGCUUGCUGGGAAGAUUGAAGUUGCAAAGGCCGGGCCUCCAGCGCGGCUCCGGGUCCGGCUUCUAACGGCGCCGUUCCCGCUGCGGCUUCUAGUCGCCGACCGGGAGUGGGUGGGCUGCUCCCCGCCGCGGCCCAAACCCUGGGGAUCGGGGUUGGAAUUCGAAGGACCUUUGGGCGGAGGCGGCCUUUGGUAACCUUUGAGCCCAAGCCCGAGGGCUGCGGAACCGAGGAUCCCGGGAGGGUGGCUCAUGAGCCCCACGCUUUCCGGAGACGGGAAGCUGCUGUGGACGAAACCAGCCCCCCGGGAAAGCCCCGCCGCGAGCCCCUAAAAGGUUGGAGGGGCGGGACCCCUUCUGUCCCAGCCCGGCAGCCCGCUGAGACGUUCCAUCACCACACCCUGACAAGGGUCUGGUGGGAGGAACCCUUCUUAACGGAUCCUGGUAGAAGGGUGAAAUGGAAAACCAUCUGGCAGUUACUCCUGCUCUAAGAAAACAAUCUGACUCACCCAGAUUUAUUAUUUAUGUACUAGUGUUCACUGACGUAGAACAGGAAAAUGGAAGUAGACGUGCUAAACGGACCAUCGUGCAGGUCCGUUACAGACAAUCUGAGUUUCCCGGUGCAGAUGCUGCAUGUGUAUUGAUGGGAAGCAAAUAAGUUACAGACAGUACAUAAUUACAAUUAGGUAAAACCAGGCAUUAUUUAUUUCCAGGGGUGGGGAGGGGGUUACUGUUAUAGAAGAUUUAAAGUUGUUUAUAUUUUCCAAAUUUUGCACAGUAGCAUAUAUUAGGGGAAAAAAACAAAAACAAAUUAGGUUAAAAAAAUUGAGGAGUGCCUGGGUGGUUCAGUCGGUUACACAUCCUCCUGGUCAGGUCAUGAUCCUGAGGUCCUGCAAUCCAGCGUUCCCCUCCUUUUGCCACGCCCCCCCCCAUACUCACUUUUUUUGUGAGAUCUCUCAAAUAAAUAGAUAAAAUCUUUA